UCCCCAUAUCUGGCUAAGCCACUGCCAGCCAGCUCCAAGACACCACUGACCAUGGCCAAGCCAGAUGGGAAUCAUAGUAAUGCCUCUGUGAUAACACAUUUAGGAAGGAAAAAACAAAUAAAUUAUUGUGCAGCCAUAAUUGUGCUCAGAGAAGAGAGGAUUUACAAUAUUGUGAAUGUGAGAGGAACAGCUCUGCAGAAGCCAAGGUCAGUGGAGAGGGAGUGGGAGGGGGUGCUCCAGGCACCUUAGCUGGGAUUCCCCUGCAGGCUGUGGUGCAGGCCACGGUGAAGCAGCUGUGUCCCUGCAGCCCUGCAGGUCAGUGGGGAUAAAGAGAUCCACCUGCAAAGGAGGAGAUCCUGGGCCAUGGACAGAAGGCUGUGGCCCACACAUGGGAGGAAGCACAUGCUGAAAUAGGCUCCUGGGAUGGACCUGCAGGCUUGUGGAGACAGGAGCCCAGGCUGGACCAGGUUUUCUAGCAGCACUUGCAACCCCAUGGGGGACUCACCCUGGAGAAGCCUGUUUUUGAAGAAUUGCAUCCCAUGGAAGGGGGGUCCCUUGGGAACAGAGUGUGAAGAACUGUAACCCAUAGCAAGGACUGUGGAGGAGUUCAUGGAGAGCUAUCUCCUGUGGGAAGGACCUCAUGCUGGAGCUGGGGAAGGAUUCCACUCCCUGAGAAACAGUGUAUGAUGAACUGACCAUAACUCCCAUCCCUAUCUCCCUCUGCCUCCUACAAGGCACAGGAAGGAGGAAGGAGUGAGAGAGAAGGAAUACAGCCAUCCCUUUCUAAUCACAAUGAGAGAAAUGCACUUGCAAAGGCUGAUUCUACACGACACUCUAAUCACUGCCUGUGACAGAAACUUGAUGUUACCAAAAUCCUAAUUUAAUUUCAAGUGAGCCUGGGAUGAACCUGGUCUGCAUUUGACUGCAUGACUGAGGAAGCAGAAAUUGCUGGUGAUUGGAAAGCUGAACCUGAGUGACACAGGACAGAUUUGCAUGUGCUCACAAUGAAAUGCACAUCAAACUGACAAAGUUUCCCUUUUAUGCUGCUGAAAGAUACCCAGCCAGUCUGAGGAAGCACUCAGCUGCUCAGCCAAAAGUUUAGUAACUGGAUUCUCAGAAGAGGUGGAAAAUUGUUUCCUGUAUUACUGGAAGCUUUUAAUUGCAUUAUUUCUUCUGAUGCUCUUUGAGGUUUUAGAAAAACAGGUAUGCAUGAAGAAACCUGGAUACUUCUGUCCCAUAGAUAUAAGACUGCUUUUAAAAUAAGCACUCUGCAUUUUAAGGUUGUCCCCACUAGAAAUACAUGGUUUUUAAAUAUUGCCAAGAGUGGGAUUGAUGAAAGACCUGCUUAGAAUGUGCUGGGAAGUCAGAGUCAAAACUAUAAAAUGCUGGAAAUUCUGAGAGAUGUAAGAAUUAGAGGGUUUUUAUUGCUAGAUUAAGUGGCACUUAUAGCAAUCUGUCCAUUUUUUGUGGCAAAUAUUCUGGAAAAUAAUAUACCGAGGAGAAGUCUUCUAUGCUUCUGAGUACAGUGCACAAUUACAAUGAUAGGGAGAGUAGAGCUGCUAAUUCUGUGAAUAACUGGUUUGGAGUUUCAUUUCAAGGCACCAGUGACAAUGCAGCCUAUUCUGGGUCCCAGAAGAUAUGCAGAAGUUCAACUUCUUUAUACAUCUCUGUCCCUCUGAAGUCACCAUUGCACAGGGGAGAGUUAAUCUUAUGGGUAAUUUUACACAUUUUGUUACAUCAGACCAAGAGCUCAGAAUCAUGCAACCUUUCAGACAGGGGACAGGAAUUCUUCUCUUCUCACAUUUAAUGGCAUCUGUCAACCCCCUGGCACUUGCUUAAGAUCAGCUUUAGACAUUCCAAUAACCUCAAAAAACGCAU